CAGUAGCCGCGGUAAUACGUAGGUGGCAAGCGUUGUCCGGAAUUAUUGGGCGUAAAGGGCUCGCAGGCGGUUUCUUAAGUCUGAUGUGAAAGCCCCCGGCUCAACCGGGGAGGGUCAUUGGAAACUGGGAAACUUGAGUGCAGAGGAGGAGAGUGGAAUUCCACGUGUAGCGGUGAAAUGCGUAGAGAUGUGGAGGAACACCAGUGGCGAAGGCGACUCUCUGGUCUGUAACUGACGCUGAGGAGCGAAAGCGUGGGGAGCGAACAGGAUUAGAUACCCCUGUAGUCCCUGUCUCUUAUAC
rnacentral:rRNA from 1 species